GAUGGCAAUUUAUUAUUUCAGAUCCAAAGCAAACUACUUUCAAAGUUCAAAUCGAGAGCUGUUAUUACAAUUGCACCAUGAAAGAACUGAGGAUAGGAAGAAAUUGUUCAGAACAGCUUCGGGGGCGGAUGAAAAAUCUUCAGAUCCUCGUAAAACAGCGCCAGGAAGGAAGAAUUCUAAUUCAGUAACAAACUGUGAAAUGACCAGAAACGCCAGCGCACAUAAGCAACCUAUC